rnacentral:rRNA from 1 species
GACGAACGCUGGCGGCGUGCCUAAUACAUGCAAGUCGAACGCAGUGGGGACGGGUGGGUAACACGUGGGUAACCUCCCAUCAGAGGGGAUAACACUUGGAAACAGGUGCUAAACCGAUACUGAUGGAUGAACCCGCGGGGCAUUAGCUAGUGGGUGAGGUAACGGCUCACCAAGGCCACGAUGCAUAGCCGAACGGAGAGGGGGUGCGGCCACACGGGGACUGAGACACGGCCCAGACGCCUACGGUAGGCAGCAGUAGGGAAUCUUCUGCAAUGGACGAAAGGCUGACCGAGCAACGCCGCGUGAGUGAAGAAGGUUUUCGGAUCGUAAAACUCUGUUGUUAGAGAAGCGGUAUCUAACCAGAAAGCCACGGCUAACUACGUGCCAGCAGACGCGGGAAUAC